AUGGUCAACAAUGCCGGCAUUACAGGCGAUAAGGUCACCGAUAUGCGGAACCUCGAAUUUGCCAAUGUCAAGAAGGUGUUGGACAUCAACGUGCACGGCAUGCUGCUGGGCAUGAAGCACACGGCGUGCGACAUGAUCCAGGGCAAGAAGGGGGCCAUCGUGUCACUGGCGAGCGUCGCCAGCGUCCUCGGAGGGAUGGGGCCUCACGCGUACAUCACGUCAAAGCAUGUGGUGGUGGGCCUCACCAAGAGCGUGGCACUGGAGCUGGGGAGGCAUGGCAUUCGGGUGAACUGCGUAUCGCUGUACGCCGUGCCCACCGCGCUCUCCAUGCCACAUUUUCCCCAGGGGGAACACAAGGGGGAUGCAGUGAGGGACUUCCUGGCCUUUGUUGGUGGUGAGGCAAACCUGAAAGGUGUUGAUCUGCUGCCGAAGGAUGUCGCCGAGGCGCCGAGGCGGUGCUCUAGCUGGCAAGCGAGGUACAUCAGCGCGCUCAACCUCGUGGUCGACGGUGGAUUUACAUCUGUGAAUGGAAACCUGAAAGCAUUUGAGGACUAG
rnacentral:rRNA from 1 species